CAUAACAAGGUGCUUAGGCACACACCUCAUAACCUUUCAAACAUAAGUUUGACAAGUGUUGUUAACGUAAGUGCUUAGGCACCGUACUGUAUCACCCAAUAUCAAAAGCACCUCAUAACCUUUCAAACAAAGUAGGUUCGAUCAGGAGCACACUUGGUACAUUUAAACACGAUUUUGUAAGGAGGCUGAAAGCAGGAAAAAGAAAAGAGCUCACAUGGAAGUUCUAAUUUCAUUACACACCAAACUCUCAACUUCUUAAUGUUUUGAGUAUUCAAGAACACGGUAUAUUUUGUAUGACAAACUAGAUCACUUUCUAGAUUUUAUCACAUACAUUUUAAGCACAUUAUAUAUACGUACACACAGCAAAAACAUAAUACACACACAUAUAGAGCCUUACCUAGGCACAUGCUUUUUUGUGCCUUACGCCUCAAUCAAUAUAACAGUUCGAGCCUAAAGUGCAUCUUGCAUCUUGACAGAACUAAGGCUGACAAAACAGAGACGUGGAAGCAUUGUAGAAAACUCACAUCACUUUCGGUGGUGAAACAGAUAGCUCAAAUCCUUCACGUCUCAUAUUCUCAAUCAAGAUUCCUAGUUGCAGUUCUCCCCUCCCCUAAAGUGCAUUAUUGGAUUGUUGUUUGUUUGUUUAUUUAAUGCGAAGGCAAACAUGCAAUGUGUAUAAGAAUGCUAAGAAGAAGAUUGAGAGGGGUGUUGCCUUCCCCACUUGUAUUUCUGUCAACAACACUGUUUGUCAUUUCUCUCCACUUGCUAGUGACACCUCCGAGCUGCAAGAAGGUGAUAUAGUGAAGAUCGAUAUGGGCACAUUGACGGGUUUAUUGUUGUAGUUGCGCACACCCAUGUUGUUCAGGAAUGGCCGGUCUCUGGCAGGAAGGCUGAUGUUGUUGCUGCUGCAAACACUGCUGCUGAAGUUGCCUUGAGGCUUGUCAAGCCUGGGAAAAUAAUAAAGACGUAAUGGAUGCAAUUCAGAAGGUAGCUGCAGCUUAUGAGUGCAAAAUUGUUGAAGGCGUUCUUAGCCAUCAACUGAAGCAGUUCGUGAUAGAAAUGAAAUUAUUAUGUUUUUAGUGAAAUAUUUGUUUAAAUCUUAUUAUUUUGCA